UGCAUCUUAAUUUAUUCAGUUAAUAAUAUAUCUUAGAGAUCAUUCCAUAUUAAAACAUAGGGUCUCCUGCAUUAUCUAUAACAUAUAAUAUUCCAUCAUAUGGGUGUACCAUAAUUUAUUCAACAGUGUCUGACUGAUAGAUAUUUAGAAUGUUUCAAGUCUUUUAUUAAUACAAACGAUGCUUUACACCACUAGAUUUUAUUUACUUUAAAUAUUUUAAGGCUCUUCUUUUAGGUACACCUGCAUCAUUAUUAUUCACUUCUACAAAAAAAUUUAAAAAGUAGCUGUGUGUGAUGGUGUAUGCCUGUGGUCUCAGCUACUCUGGAGGCUGAGGUGGGAGGAUCACUUGAGCCCAGGAGGUUGAAGGUGCAGUGAGCCAUGAUGGUACUUUCUUCUUUUAUUGUAAGAACCUUUUCUGAAAAUUAGAAAUACGUAUAUUUUAGUUCAAAUUUAAAAAGCAACUUCAAUCUUUUUACUUCCCUACAGAUAUUCUAGCUGAUAACUACAGACUUUGAAACAAUAAGGUUUUAAUCAGCUUCCAUAAUUUUUACUUGCCUAUGUUCAUUUAUAAGAAAAUUACCUUGUAGUGAAUAUCAUAAUGGGAGGCUAUGAAUUUUGGAGAUGGAUACUGGAGGGGAGAACACUCACCGACCCCUCCUCACAUUUCCCUCUCUCUUCCUAAGAGACGGCAGUACUUCUGUCUAUGCUUCUACCUCUCUUGUCUCCACUCCUUUUGGGCCUCCUACUCUAAGAGAAGAAAUUUAAAUAAUCUCAUUAUUUAUUGGGUUAUGUUUACCAGUGAGCAAGGAUACUAUGUACUAAAACCAGAGGAACCCAGGCUCUAUCCCUUAGCUUCUAGCCCCUUUCCCUCUGCUGCCAUGUGGUACGCUUCCUUCUCACUCUUCUGCCCCUGAAUUGGGGAGGGCCUAGAUUUUAGUGGAUUAAUAAACCUUAAUGCUGGACUCUGCAGACAUUAAUUUAGAUGUUGUCAUUUGUCUCUUUUAAAUUCUCCCUGCCUUGCCCUGUGUCAACACCAUGUUAAAACCACAAUUCUGAGAUCCAACACUGUACUUCCUACAAAAUUCCAUUUUUCGUAGCAAGCAACUUGUACCUGUGACUCCAAAGCUUGCUUGUCUGUCAGUCCCAUAGCAGCAGCCAAGUCCCCAUGAGGUGCUGCUCUUCAUGGGUGGAGUAAGGAAAAACCUUGAACUAAUCCAUGCAUGCCUCCUGCCAAGCUCCUCUUUUUCCAAAAAGGACUCUGAUUUCUUAAGAAAUCUGGUGUCUUAUGGAAGCUGGGUUAAAUACUAAUUUCCAGUUUACAUUUCAGGAGGGAGCCUUUUAGGCUUUCUCAAUUUAGUAAGUUGACAUAGAGUGAGUGGUUUAAGAUUGAUUCUUCAUCUGAUAAUAUCCAGUUUCUUUUUUUUUUUUUUUUUUUCUUUGAGAUGGAGUUUCGCCCUGUCACCCAGGCUGGAGUGCAACGGUGCGAUCUCUGCUCACCGUAACCUCUGCAUCCCGGGUUCAAGCCAUUCUCCUGCCUCUGCCUCCCAAGUAGCUGGGACUAUAGGCAUGCGCCACCACACCCAGCUAAUUUUUGUAUUUUCAGUAGAGAUGGGGUUUCACCAUGUUGGCCAGGCUGGUCUUGAACUCCUGACCUCAAGUGAUCCACCUGCCUCGGCCUCCCAAAGUGCUGGGAUUACAGGCAUGAGCCACCGCACCUGGCCAAUAUCCAGUUUCAAACAGCGUAUUCUCCCACAAAUCGAAAUUCCACCAGUGUUUACUAAGUGCCUACUACAUGCGAAGCACUGUGCAGUUAAACAUAAGGAACUAUGACAAAGAACACAGUGAAGCAAGAAUUUAGUACAUUUAUUCCAUUUUAUAUGUAAAUAUUUUAAUUAUCACUAAUGUAGAC
rnacentral:lncRNA from 10 species